rnacentral:rRNA from 1 species
AUAUCAGUCAUGCAUAGCAUAUCAAUAAGCGGAGGAAAAGAAACUAACAAGGAUUCCCUUAGUAACGGCGAGUGAAGCGGGAAGAGCUCAAAUUUGAAAUCUUCAAGGUUUUACCUUGACGAAUUGUAGUUUAAAGAAGUGUUUUCUGUUGAAGUUUUGGUAAAAGUUCUUUGGAAUAGGACAUCAUAGAGGGUGAGAAUCCCGUAUUUGACCAUUACUCUCAGCUUUGUGAUACACUUUCAAAGAGUCGGAUUGUUUGGGAAUGCAGUCCAAAAUGGGUGGUAAAUUUCAUCUAAAGCUAAAUAUUGGCGAGAGACCGAUAGCGAACAAGUACCGUGAGGGAAAGAUGAAAAGAACUUUGAAAAGAGAGUUAAACAGUACGUGAAAUUGUCAAAAGGGAAGCGUUUGACACCAGUGUUGUUUUCUCGAAAAUCAAUUAAAAAGAGUUGGAUUUUGUGUUGUAUUGACUUUAUCAGGCUUUCUUCACUCUUUUCCAGCUUUUUUUAAUGCACUUUUCGUUUAACAAGUCAACAUCAGUUUCUUUUGUUGUAAAAAGGUCAUUGGAAGGUGGCUUUCUCUUCGGAGAAAGUGUUUAUAGCCUUUGACUCAUGCAAUCGGAGAGACUGAGGUCUGCAGCGUAGAUCCUUCGGGGUUAGAUACAUUUGUGCUAAGUUAUAGCUUUUCAUAGACAACUUGUUGACUAUGUUUAGUCUUGUAGCUUACUCGCUUAUGCUAUUUUACCUACGCUUAGGAUGUUGAACUCUAUCACACACAG